rnacentral:lncRNA from 1 species
UUUGCUGCUCCUUGAAGGCCUGAUCCAGUGUAGAAUUUCCUUCUAAGUUAGUCCCAGAAGAUGUUGAUCUGGAAGAAGGUACAGGUUCUCAUCCCUUAGAAAGCCAUGCUGUGCAUCGAAGCUGCUCAUGGUGAAAUGUGACAUUCAUUAGAGAAGCUCUACCUUUCUGCUGACUGUACCCGUGUCACUUAUGCCUUGAUCCUUCCAGGACAUCUUCCCAUGAAGGAGGUGGGCUAUUUGAUAUGAUCUCUCCAGCAUCACUGUGACACUGUGACACAGUCGUACAGGACAAUUCAACCAUCUGCCUCUAGACACCAGCUCAUUUAGGAUGCUGGUUACAGAUGCUGUUUCCACUUUUCUGAGGAAAACGUGAAGCAGCCAGGAGAAACCCAGCAGAGACCAGCACAUAGAGAGAAGUCAAAUCAGCAUGGCACAGGGCAGAAAGCUCCUACUGCAGGACACCAUGACAGACUGGAAUUGAUGGCCAUAAGGCACAUCUGAUAAGUGGGGAUACAGACCUGAUCUAAACGUAUAGCAGGGAAGCACCAUUGUGUGUCGCGUUGUAAGAGCUUGGCAAUAGCCAGCACAAAUGAGGAAACCUCUUUGUCUCCUAAGUUUGUGGGACAGCGUAGGGGGUAUGAGAACUAACAUCUCUCACACUGCUUAAAACAAUAUGCACAGUAAAAACCUUCCUAUCUCUUCCACUGCUGCCUCCAAAAAGAAGGAUGAAGAAAUAUAGACUGUUUCAGGCUCUAUUUAUGUUUGGUGCAUGAAGAUGUCUGGGAGAACAGUUUGCAUUCCUUACAUUGAGAGAAGUCUUCAUAGCCUUGACAAUCCUAUAUUACUGCUUUAGGGGUAAGGAAGUACGGGGUAAUGCGAAAGCCCCUACUUCUUGCUAGCACGUAUUGGAUAACAGCUGACAAUAUGCAUGUGUGAAUGUAAAUAGUGUGUGAAUACAAUACCAACACCGUUUGAGAGGGACUUUGCACCAAAUCUGGUAAUGCUAAGGAGGAAUCAAACAGGGACAAGUUUACUUAAAGCAACCAUGAGCUGGAUU